GUGCCAGCCGCCGCGGUAAUACCGGCAGCCCAAGUGAUGGCCGAUCUUAUUGGGCCUAAAGCGUCCGUAGCUGGCCACGCAAGUCCAUCGGGAAAUCCACCUGCCCAACAGGUGGGCGCCCGGUAGAAACUGCGUGGUUUGGGACCGGAAGGCGCGACGGGUACGUCCGGGGUAGGAGUGAAAUCCCGUAAUCCUGGACGGACCGCCGAUGGCGAAAGCACCUCGAGAGGACUGAUCCGACAGUGAGGGACGAAAGCCGGGGUCUCGAACCGGAUUAGAAACCCCCGUAGUCC
rnacentral:rRNA from 1 species